GAUGAACGCUGGCGGCGUGCCUAAUACAUGCAAGUCGAGCGAACAGACGAGGAGCUUGCUCCUCUGACGUUAGCGGCGGACGGGUGAGUAACACGUGGAUAACCUACCUAUAAGACUGGGAUAACUUCGGGAAACCGGAGCUAAUACCAGAUAAUAUAUUGAACCGCAUGGUUCAAUAGUGAAAGACGGUUUUGCUGUCACUUAUGGAUGGAUCCGCGCCGCAUUAGCUAGUUGGUAAGGUAACGGCUUACCAAGGCAACGAUGCGUAGCCGACCUGAGAGGGUGAUCGGCCACACUGGAACUGAGACACGGUCCAGACUCCUACGGGAGGCAGCAGUAGGGAAUCUUCCGCAAUGGGCGAAAGCCUGACGGAGCAACGCCGCGUGAGUGAUGAAGGUCUUCGGAUCGUAAAACUCUGUUAUUAGGGAAGAACAAAUGUGUAAGUAACUAUGCACGUCCUGACGGUACCUAAUCAGAAAGCCACGGCUAACUACGUG
rnacentral:rRNA from 1 species